rnacentral:misc_RNA from 1 species
GAUGAAGAACGUAGCGAAAUGCGAUAACUAAUGUGAAUUGCAGAAUUCAGUGAAUCAUCGAGUCUUUGAACGCACAUUGCGCCCCCUGGUAUUCCGGGGGGCAUGCCUGUCCGAGCGUCAUUGCCGCCCUCAAGCACGGCUUGUGUGUUGGGCUCCGUCCCCCCGGGGACGGGCCCGAAAGGCAGCGGCGGCACCGAGUCCGGUCCUCGAGCGUAUGGGGCUUUGUCACCCGCUCUGUAGGCCCGGCCGGCGCCAGCCGACAACCCAUCAUCCUUUUCAGGUUGACCUCGGAUCAGGUAGGGAUACCCGCUGAACUUAAGCAUAUCAAUAAGCGGAGGA